rnacentral:rRNA from 1 species
GCAAGUCGAGCGGUAACAGAAAUUAGCUUGCUAAUUUGCUGACGAGCGGCGGACGGGUGAGUAACGCGUAGGAAUCUACCUAGUAGUGGGGGAUAGCCCAGAGAAAUUUGGAUUAAUACCGCAUACGCCCUACGGGGGAAAGGAGGGGAUCUAUUUAUAGACCUUUCGCUAUUAGAUGAGCCUGCGUGAGAUUAGCUUGUUGGUGAGGUAAAGGCUCACCAAGGCGACGAUCUCUAGCUGGUCUGAGAGGAUGAUC